ensembl:snoRNA
UAGGUCCUAAAUUAAGACCAGUUGUUGUCUGUAGCUGUUGGUUUGAAACAGAAGGCAAGAAGGUGAUUAUCUUCCUUUUGUCUGUGACAUCUUCAUUAUGUGUGUGGAAAUGGCCAAUUCAUUUGGAAGAAACACAA